rnacentral:rRNA from 1 species
UACAGAGGGUGCGAACGUUGCUCGGAAUUACUGGGCGUAAAGCGCAUGUAGGCGGGUCGGCAAGUCAGAUGUGAAAUCCCCGGGCUCAACCUGGGAACUGCAUCUGAAACUGCUGGUCUUGAGUACUGGAGAGGGUGGCGGAAUUCCUGGUGUAGAGGUGAAAUUCGUAGAUAUCAGGAGGAACACCGGUGGCGAAGGCGGCCACCUGGACAGUAACUGACGCUGAGAUGCGAAAGCGUGGGGAGCAAACAGG